AUAGCGAACAAGUACUGUGAAGGAAAGAUGAAAAGGACUUUGGAAAGAGAGUUAAAAGUA
rnacentral:rRNA from 1 species